GACGAACGCUGGCGGCGUGCUUAACACAUGCAAGUCGAACGCUGAAGCUCAGCUUGCUGGGUGGAUGAGUGGCGAACGGGUGAGUAACACGUGAGUAACCUGCCCCCUUCUUUGGGAUAACGCCCGGAAACGGGUGCUAAUACUGGAUAUUCACUGAUCUUCGCAUGGGGGUUGGUGGAAAGGUUUUUUCUGGUGGGGGAUGGGCUCGCGGCCUAUCAGCUUGUUGGUGGGGUGAUGGCCUACCAAGGCUUUGACGGGUAGCCGGCCUGAUAGGGUGACCGGUCACAUUGGGACUGAGAUACGGCCCAGACUCCUACGGGAGGCAGCAGUGGGGAAUAUUGCACAAUGGGCGAAAGACUGAUGCAGCGACGCCGCGUGAGGGAUGGAGGCCUUCGGGUUGUAAACCUCUUUCGCUAAUGGUCAAGCCGCAACAUUGGUUGUGGUGAGGGUAGUGGGUAAAGAAGCGCCGGCUAACUACGUG
rnacentral:rRNA from 1 species